ACACGACUACAUUAGAUACCCGGGUAGUCCCAGCCCUAAACGAUGCGCGUUAGGUGUAUCGGUGACCACGAGUCACCGAGGUGCCGAAGGGAAACCGUGAAACGUGCCGCUUGGGGAGUACGUCCGCAAGGAUGAAACUUAAAGGAAUUGGCGGGGGAGCACCACAACGGGUGGAGCCUGCGGUUUAAUUGGACUCAACGCCGGGAAGCUCACCGGAUAAGACAGCGGAAUGAUUGCCGGGCUGAAGACCCUGCAUGACCAGCUG
rnacentral:rRNA from 1 species